AUUCCUAAGAGUGCUAGGAGAACUGCCACAAAGCUGUAAAAAUAGGGGCUAUCUUUUAAUCUGUUCUGCAGUGCUUGGCCUGUGAUUUGAGAGAAGAGUGGUCCUGUGCUGCAGCUAGAGUUCCUCAGCUGGGAAAGUGGAAAGGAAGAAUGUGUCACCUGUAGCUGAAGAAUGUUCACAUGCAGAUUGUGUUCUCUUGAAUGCUGUUCUUACUCAGAUUUACCAAAUGAAUGAUAUGGAAAGAGGCUGGAACUUGCCCCUUAAAGGUGCUGCUUCAGAGUGACAGUGCUGUGCAGGGGAAGAGUGGGGAUGAAAUAACAAAAAAGAAUGGAUGCUGGAUGGUUCCCUACGAGAAUUGUUUCCUGAUAAUGUCAGGCUCACUUUUGACCUGAAUGUGUUCCUCAACCACAACAUCAUAACAAACACAGAUCAUUGCAGGCAAGUUGAAGUAAGCCAUUUCAGGUUUUUCAAAACAUGCUGCAGCUCGUGGAAAUCUUGGGGCUCCUUUUCUAGAAAACUGUUCUUCAAAAGAGCGGAGUGCAGCAGCAUGCUUCAGCCUCCAGGAUUCACACCACUAGCUUUAGGAAGUACAACUACUUUUGAGUUAUUGCUUAGAGAAAUGAUAAUAAUAAAAGCUGACUAGAUUUAAAAAAAAAAAAAAAAAGGACCUUUGAGCACUGUCAUGUAACUGCUGAUAACAAUGAUUAUUAUGUUUAUCUUGCCAGUUUUAACCAUGUUGUCAAUUGCCACAUUUCACCCUAGAUUCUGGUCUCUAAGAAAUCCAUGCUAAAAUGAACAUUUGUUUCAGCAAAGGCUCCCAGCUGAAUGCAAGCCACAAGGGGUUUCUUUUAAGUUGGAUAUGAGUGGGUUUGGUUUUGUUUUUUUUCCUCCUCCCUUCCUCUGAAGGAGAGAAGACAAGUUCUGGAAGCUUAGUUGCUGGUCUAAAACAUGAAUAGCAUGAAGUCUCUUCAGUGUUUCUGUGUUAAAUGCUGCUUCAGAGCCAUUGCUACUUAAGGGAUUUAGUUGCUGAAUGCUUACCUAAGACCUGUGUUCCCACUUAAACAUAAAAAUUGACCUUUCCAGGUAUGAAAUAUAUCAAGAGCUUUGUUUCGUUUGUUUAUUUUGGUUUUUGUCUGAUUAGUCUUACUGUAUUAAUGCUUAUGAUACAAUUUCUUUAUGUUUUGGAGGGGUAAAACCUGCCAUAGCAA